CUGUAUCCCCUAGAACGACUCUCCAUUGUACAACACCCAGCAGCAGGAAGAACUGAAGCAGAGUUUGACAUCCAGGCAGCGUGGACUCCGUCCAGAGACAGAGAAAGGUGAUCUGCUACGAUCAGACAGCCUUCUCAGUUCUCCUGAGUCAUUCCAGAAGACCCAGCAUGUCAUGAGGUCAACGUUUUCAUCUGCGAACUCAAAUGCUUUGUCAACCCAUUCUGCCAGGAUGGAAGAAGAUCAGCAUUGGGAGAGUUCAAAAUCACCCCAAAAGAAAACAAAACUAGCUGAAAUCAAGAAAAAGAAACGUGUUAGGUUUCUCUUACCUCACCAAACUGAGAGAAAAAGAAGACCCUCUUCCCCUCGAGAUGCAGAUCAGGAGAUGUUCACAUGUGAAUGCUGCUACUGUCAGAAGGAUGUGGGGAACAUGUCUGGCGUCUCCAUGGGGACGGGGACCACGACAGAAGCAGCCUCUCAUUCACCCUCCUGUGAAAAUCUGAUACUAGACCUCGGUAACUUGUCACUCAACCCUGAUACCACCCAGCCCACUCUUGUGCAAGAAAUACAAAACAGAGAAAAGAACAAGACGCAUUGGCAGCAGAAAAGCAAAAAGUCGUUUCAAAGGCUUCUCCACGAAUGGACAGAAUAACUCUGGCAUUGUUAUCCUCAUGUGAAGAAGAUCAGAACCUACAGGAUCAUGAAUGUCAACAACACCAAACCCUAGGGUGAAAUCUUUUUGGGAGCACGGUCAGAAGGAGUAAAAGUGUCCAGCCUGGUGACAAUAAUAUCUUCAGAUGGCGAGUUUCAAACCUAUUCCAGAAAUGUAACAGUCGUUUUCUUAGUGGUUUUGGCAUCCCCUCUGGGGCAUUCUGGGAACAGAUGCUCCUUGGCUAGGGCAACCAGAUAGCGAUGGUUCUGUACUCCCCAUGCUGUUGUUCCCAUGGGGCCAUCUACCAAUUUCCCCUCCUCCGGUCUCGGCUUUUCCUCCUUU